GCUGAAGUCGAGGAAGGGGCUCUCAAGGGCCACAGCUUCAUGAUGACUGGCUAUGUGUGUAGAAGCCUUGAGUGAAGAAAGUCACUGCCGACACCGUGAUAAUCGUCACUCAAGGUGUCUACCAACCUGGGACAGUCGGGGAAUUGGGGCUUUGCUGGAAAACUGGAGGAACUUUGGUAAAACCUGGCUAAUUCAUGGAAACUGGCGGCAGUCUGUGCCACCAUCACAAAAAUAAGCAUUACCCUUGAUCAAUACUCAAAAA